UACGUAGGGUGCGAGCGUUAUUCGGAAUUACUGGGCGUAAAGCGUGCGCAGGCGGUUUUGUAAGUCAGAUGUGAAAGCCCCGGGCUUAACCUGGGAAUGGCAUUUGGGACUGCAAGGCUUGAGUGCGGCAGAGGAGACUGGAAUUCCUGGUGUAGCAGUGAAAUGCGUAGAUAUCAGGAGGAAUACCGAUGGCGAAGGCAGGUCUCUGGGCUGACACUGACGCUCAUGCACGAAAGCGUGGGGAGCAAACAGG
rnacentral:rRNA from 1 species